GGGCCCGUAGCUCAGGUCGGUUAGAGCAGCUCGCUCUUAACGAGAAGGUCGUGGGUUCAAAUCCCAUCAGGCCCA
rnacentral:tRNA from 1 species